GGGGAUGUAGCUCAGUUGGCUAGAGCGCUUGACUGGCAGUCAAGAGGUCGUGGGUUCGAGUCCCAUCUUCUCCACCA
rnacentral:tRNA from 1 species